rnacentral:tRNA from 1 species
UCCAGGGUAGCCUAGUGGAUAUGACAUCUGCCUGGUAAGCGGAACAUUGUGGGUUCGAUUCCCAUCCCUGGAC